rnacentral:lncRNA from 1 species
GGGACCCAGGCUGGAGAGUUAGUUCGGGUCUGAGGUGUUGUGAGCCGGGAGCGCGAGGAAACCAAAGGCAGGGGCUGGCUGAGGCUGCAGCUCACUGCUGAUUUACCCCAGGACCCCGCUCCGGAGGGGUCGUAGCCAGUUUAGCACAAGUCCAUCAUCCGCUAGUCCCGAAAGCGCUGGGCAGUGGGGUCAGGGGCAGUGGGAGGAAAUCCACCCGGCUGACGCCCUGCGGGUUCUCCGGUUCCCGGGCGCUCGGCGGCGGACGUGGCCCUCAGAGCAGGCCACCGGGCGUUGGGGGUCCAGGCUGACUCCCAGAGCGACCGGGAUCGCCAAGUCACGCCCCACGUGGCCUGGAGGCUUUUUCCUGGUCCUCCCAAUCCUUCAGCCAAAGGCUCUCAUUAUGUGGAGAAUGGAAGUCACUAUUUGGGGGAACUGACUGUCCCCAGGGCACGUCCCAGAAGGGAGCAAAUCCCUCCGAGGAGGCGCAGGAGAUUCACAGGCAGUCUCUAUGCGUGCACCUCCAUUCAGGAUGUGCCAGGACGGCAGACCACAGGCAGCGCCAGAAAUGGCUCGCGAUGCUGGCAGGACAAACAGCCGGGCACCUGGGCGUGGCGACACCGGAGGGACACUGGUUGUACACGCGUGCUGCAGAGUUGGUGACCAUGGGCAGUGCAGCCGCUGGGUUUGGCCUGUGAGGCCAUCCUCAAGGUUCUCUGGAGGCCAGCAAGGAGCUUUCACAGCUGAGAGGCCCCAGACGCAGCUGCAUCCUGGAAUUGUUCUGAGAAAUCUGGGACCUGCCCCACCUCCACCCAGGCAGGGGGCACCAGCCAGCUCCAGAGCUGCCCACCUUCCCUCACAGGCGCACAGGUCAGUGCCAGGCCAACCCCAGAGCGAGAACACCUGUGCUGGACUGUGCUGAAGCAGCGAGGUGGCCUGCACAGGGGCAGCAAGGGAGGUGUCGGACGGAGCCACCCCACGGUUCCCCUGUGAAAGUCUGCACGUCACUCAGAAAGUUGAAGCAAACGAAGCAGGGCUGGAGCUCACAGUUCACAGCUGGCCAGGCUGCACAGGGGAUGCGCCAAGGACAGUUUCCUACGACAAGUGGAAAUCUGUGUGCUGCAGGCGAGCUGGGUCCUGGAAAGUGCAGGGACCAGCCAGCAUCUUGGGACAUCAAGGGCUGUCUCCAGCCAGCAGAUUUCCCAUAAAAAGGUGCUGAACUGGGGACAAAGCUGAUUCUACAGAGCUGAGAAUCCAGACCUUCCCUGGGGACUCCCAAGGGGGCCCUGGCCACCCUCUCCACCUGCAGAGGUUUCCUGGCCCAACAGCUCCUCCUCCGAGGGCCCCCUUCCAGCUCUCGGCCCAUGGGGGAGCCAGUUCCUCAGCUCUGGGCUUGGUGGACAGGAGACCUAGGGCUCCCCGCACCGAGCUGGGCUCAGUGUUUUCUUUUUUUGUUGUUGUUGUUUUUUUUUGAGACGGAGUCUCGCUCUGUCGCCCAGGCUGGAGUGCAGUGGCCAGAUCUCAGCUCACUGCAAGCUCCGCCUCCCGGGUUUUACGCCAUUCUCCCUGCCUCAGCCUCCGAGUAGCUGGGACUACAGGCACCCGCCACCUCGCCCAAGUAGUUUUUUUGUACUUUUUUAGUAGAGACGGGGUUUCACCGUGUUUGCCAGAGG